UGUACUGUUUUUUCUAGAGCACUGAAAAGCUAAAUUGUAAUUAUAUUAAGGACAUUAAGCAUGUUUUUAACAUUGCUUUAUUUCAAAAUUUAUAGAUGCUCAUACAAAAACUAGAUAAACUAUAAGUAAGUAUAUUAUGCCUAUAAUAAAAUGUUAAUAAAAUAUAACUAUUUCAACAGAAAAAAAUUGAGAGCAAGAUUUAAAACCGAGCUUAAAGGAAGGAACUUUAAAUUUCUAUUCCCUUUGUUCUGCAGAUUUAAUAUUAUUACAUUUCUCUAGCAUUCCUUAUUAAUGAUUAGGGUAGGAUAAUCUACAUUCUAUUUUGUCUUAUAACACUUGUCUCUAUAUUUAUGGUAUUCUACAUGCAGAAAUUACAAAAUUUAGCCAUUUACUAAAUAUAUUUAUGCUGGACAUUUGAGAGGACAAGGAUAGAUUUUAAUGAUCCUCUUGGUAGUCCAAGUUAGAGUUUUCAAGUAUAAUGGAGAAUUUUCUUGUUCUCAUGACGUGUGCUGAAUGUCCCAUAGGAACAUACAAUUACUCAAAGGGUGUAAUCUCUAAAACUUCACCAAACUCCAAGUGAAGAUUCACUUCAUUAGUUUUUCUUCCUCCUCAUGAGGCCGUUUAAUUCUGUCAAAAUGUUUACAUAAGGUCUAUGUCUACCACAGUGCCAAUGGUAAUCAUCAGGCCAAUACAUUUUCCCCAGACUCUCUGAGCUCAACUUCCAUAUGUAACUGGGAAGAAAGGCCACAGGCAUUCAAAAUGAGAAGGCUGGUAGUAGCAGCAACCAAUGGAACAAAAAUCAGUGAAAAUAGAUUGUAUCAGUGAUUCCUGUGAAUGAGCUGAUUUUGUAGUGACGUAUUUCUAAAUUGUUUUGUUAUAUUACAUGUGUUUUGCUUAUGAUCGUUUUUAUCUACUUAUGAUCAUACCAAAGCUUGCUGUUGAGUAGACAGAUAGUUUGUAAUUUUGUCUAAGACUUACAUGGCCAGUUUAAAGCAUGCAAUUUUUCUCUAUUAAUAUGGCAAACUGUUAAUAAAUUCAAAAUGUUAUCAAUUGAAGAUUUUCAAAUGGCAGAUUCAGGAAGUUAAAAGAAUAAUCUCUGUCAUCAAGGCAAUCAUCCUGAUUCUUUUAAGAUGACAAUUCUCUUUAUUAAAUUAUUAUAAGGGUUGUGUAUUUCAAAGAAUGCCUCUCAUUAUGUUUUCUCUAGAUACCUCACAAGCACCAGAUAAAAUAAAAUGCCUUCUUACAUUAUUUCCCAUUUUAAUAUUAAAAAAACAAAUUAUUUAUUCACUUAAACAUAGAAUCUUUAUAAGAAUCUGCCAAUUGUUAUUAGAGCACAACAGAUUAAUUGUAACAGAUGAACAAGCAAAUCUUGUUAUCUAUUUAGUGGCUAAUUAAAUAAUGCCAAACACAGCUGUUUGCUGAAUUAUUAAUAUUUUAGAUAAAUAUUCCAGAUUAUCCGUAAAUAUCUGUAUAUUCUUUGAUUUUCUAAAACUUUUUAUGUUUGAUUGGUAAACAAAUAUUUCUGGGGAAAGCGUACUACUCACCAUUAAUGAAGACUAUAAAAAGGAAUACUCUCUCCCCCUUGAAGCACCUAGUAUGUGUAUGACUUAAUGGGCAACCACUCCAGAUACAGUGAUAAGAAGAUAUUAAGAACAGUUUCUUUCAGAGAUGUUGAAGCCCAUAAAUGUAAAUUAUUUUGGAUCUUUAUUUUAUCGUGUUUGAUUACUUGGUAAGAUAAGCUGAACUUUUUCCAGAAAAAAUAAUAGAUUCAACACUGUAUACUAAUGAUCCUUAAAAAUUUUCAAAAUAAAUAUACUAAGAUGAUAUCUACCUAAUCUCAUUUUUGCCAUUAAAUUUGUUAUCUCAGGUUAAUUCAUUUUUUCUCUUCGAAUUUUAUUUUCUCCAUCUAUAAAUGAGAUAUCAUUUCCCAUGUGUACAUAAACCAGACAGAAGUACAAAUGAUUGCAAAUAAUACCUUUUAUAGAUUAUCAAUGGUGAAGUUUGCAGAUUUGGAGAUUUGAGUAAGAUUUUGGCUGUGUUAGCGUGUUUCAUAUUUGAUGAUGUGCUAGAUAAGACUGAUGUGUCUGUACAUGAGAAUUAUCUGGGGAGAUUUUAAAACAUAUUCCUGAGCUACUACUCAAAUGUUAUUAAUUUGUCUCUCAUGACAAGGAAAUUUUUAGAGAUCUACAAUUUAAAUAAACUCUCAGGUAAUUUCAGAACCACAGUCCAAAGUGAAACUACUGUCUUGAUCAAUGUUUCUCAAAUUUUAAUGUGCAUAAGAGUCAUUAGGGAUCUUAAAAGGCAGAUUUUAAUUCAUUAUGUCUAGAUGGAGCCUAGAUUCUGCAUUUCUAAAUAGGUCCCAUAUGAUGCUAACAUUGCUGGUCCAUGGGCCAUGCUUUGAAUUUCAAAGCUCUAGUCCAGAUGAAACUCUUGAUAAAAUUAUCAAUGUAUGGCAUCACAGUUUAAUCAUAGAAUCGUAAAAUAUCAUAGCUAGAAAAGACCUGGACAUCAGUAAAUCUGGCAGUUUUGUUUUACAGGUGUGAGAACUGAGAGCCACUGAAGUGACUUGACCAUAGCUGGUUAACAGCAGAAAGGGAAACAAUACCAAUACCUCCUUGUUGCAUUCAUUCAAGCUUAUCUGUCAUGUUUAAAAUUUUGAUAUGUUCAGAUGAUGAGCAUCAACUAUCAAUAGUUAUUCCAAUGGCUUAGGUCAAUGCGACAGUGAUAUAUAUAUUAACUUAGUUUGCAUCCUAUCAUUCAUGUUUUGGGAUUUUGUUAACAGUAGAUUUAUAUACAUUAGCCAUUGUGUGUAAACAAAUUAUGCAGUUAUUCAUUUAUCUUUGACUGUCUAACUCACUGGCCUCAGGAUGCAUAAAAUUCCCUAUUUAUAGCAUUACUCUUUUGGGUUGCAAUGGCUCUCACUCUGAUUGUGAGUUAGAAUACCAUUGUGGAGAUGUUACAAAUUCAACUAUUUAAGGCUUGACCCCUACAGAUUGUUAUUUAGCAAAUCGGAGAUGGGAGGUAAUCUAGAAUUCUGAAUUAGAAACAAAAAUUAGAUGAUGUAGACAUUUGUGGCAUUCCUGCUAGAAUCCAGUAUUCCUGAUAAUAUUCCUCUUAAUUUUGGGAACCACUUUUUUCCCCAUGCUAACCCACCCUUCAUUUCCAAGGGCGGGGGCCCAUUUCAUAGGCCUUGAUAAAGUGCAUAUUUCUUCUCUCUGUCCAACUGAUUGGCUCCAACAGGGAUAUGCUACUAAAUCCAGAUUAAUGGGAGUGAACCAGAUGCUUUCGCAGAGGCAUUGAGGAAGAGAACAGGCUCUUCUACUGAGUUGCUAAGGAAAGAACAACUAAGAGGUGGAGUCUCUAGAUUUGCCCAUCUGCAUCUGUCUGAUCCACUCCACAGGAAGGCAAGAAAACAGGGGUCCCAGGAAUCUUCUGCCCUUCUGCCCAUGACUCUGCCUGCACCAGACGACACUUACUGGUGUUCACUCAAGCACAGUACAUGAGUGAAAUGUGAAAUUUGGUGCCGUGACUCGGAUCGGGGGACCUCCCUUGGGAGAUCAAUCUUCUGUCCUCCUACUCUUUGCUCUGUGACAAAGAUCCACCUGCAACCUCUGGUCCUCAGACUAACCAGCCCAAGGAACACCUCACCAAUUUUAAAUCGGGAACUCAAAAUAGGAUGGCCGGUGGCAGAAGCAAAGAGUUUGUCUGGCAAGGACACUUAGGACCAGAUGACAGCAGGGCUUAAAAAUACUUUAAAAUAUUUUCCAUUUGUCCAAAAGUGUUUUGAUUGGUUUGGUUUUAUAUUGCCAAGUGUAAAACCUACAAAUUAUUCCUUAUUAAUGCUUGAUAAAGUACCAGUUCCAAACGAAAUCUUCACCCAAGCUUUUUAACUAUUAUCUUUAUGAACUGCAACAUUCAGGCUUUGUUCAGCUCUUGCAAAUAAGGAUAUCAAUUUCAUUGGAAAUCAAUAAGUACCACCGACAAAGAAAGAGAAUAGGAGGAAAAAGGGAAGAAUGAAACAGAUUUCAGUGAUCCUCAAGCACAUUUGUGGGGUGUUUCUUCCUCACACUAAGAUGAAACAGAAACCAAGCAGGAACUGGAGGGGACACUGUUUCUUUCCAUUUGAAUUAAUUUUAAUUUUAAAGCCAAAUUUUAUGGA
rnacentral:lncRNA from 1 species